AUCCAGCUAACGAGUCCCAAAAAGGACGAAACGCGCAUCCUGGAU
rnacentral:hammerhead_ribozyme from 1 species